UUAAAUACAGUGAAAAGAAAUAGUAAAUUAAUUGAUGCAUUACAGAGAGAGGGAAUAGGUGAAAGCCCUUAUGAUAGAUUAAUUGAAGCAGUCUUGGAGUAUCAACUUUGAAACUAAGUAGGAGUUGACGGUAGUUCCGUUAUAACUUAAGGUUUUCCGAAGAUACUGUAGAUUUUUUACAGUAAUUAGGGUGGUACCGCGAGAUAUAUCCUCGCCCCUAUA
rnacentral:ncRNA from 1 species